rnacentral:rRNA from 1 species
GACGAACGCUGGCGGCGUGCCUAAUACAUGCAAGUCGAGCGGAUCUUCAUUAGCUUGCUUUUGAAGAUCAGCGGCGGACGGGUGAGUAACACGUGGGCAACCUGCCUGUAAGACUGGGAUAACUUCGGGAAACCGGAGCUAAUACCGGAUAAUCCUUUUCCUCUCAUGGGGAAAAGCUGAAAGACGGUUUCGGCUGUCACUUACAGAUGGGCCCGCGGCGCAUUAGCUAGUUGGUGAGGUAACGGCUCACCAAGGCGACGAUGCGUAGCCGACCUGGGAGGGUGAUCGGCCACACUGGGACUUAGACACGGCCCAGACUGCUACGGGAGGCAGCAGUAGGGAAUCUUCCGCAAUGGACGAAAGUCUGACGGAGCAACGCCGCGUGAGCGAUGAAGGCCUUCGGGUCGUAAAGCUCUGUUGUCAGGGAAGAACAAGUACCGGAGUAACUGCCGGUACCUUGACGGUACCUGACCAGAAAGCCACGGCUAACUACGUGCCAGCCGCCGCAGUAAGAC